CCUACGGGCGGCAGCAGUGAGGAAUAUUGGUCAAUGGGCGCGAGCCUGAACCAGCCAAGUAGCGUGAAGGAUGACUGCCCUACGGGUUGUAAACUUCUUUUAUAAAGGAAUAAAGUGAGGCACGUGUGCCUUUUUGUAUGUACUGUAUGAAUAAGGAUCGGCUAACUCCGUGCCAGCAGCCGCGGUAAUACGGAGGAUCCGAGCGUUAUCCGGAUUUAUUGGGGUUAAAGGGGGCGUAGAUGGGUUGUUAAGUCAGUUGUGAAAGUUUGGGGCUUAACCGUAAAAUUGCUAUUGAUACUGGCUGUCUUGAGUGCAGUUGAGGUAGGCGGAAUGCGUGGUGUAGCGGUGAAAUGCUUAGAGAUCACGAAGAACUCCGAUUGCGAAGGCAGCUUACUAAACUGCCACUGACAUUGAUGCUCGAAAGUGUGGGUAUCAAACAGGAUUAGAUACCCGAGUAGUC
rnacentral:rRNA from 1 species